AAAUGUUAUUUAUAGCAUUUAAAACUUCUAGAAAUCAAAUUUUAUAAUUUUUCGACAUCAUUUACCUUACGAUCAAGAGGUCACAAAUUUGACAAUUUUUAAUGGCCGGUAUGGGAUACUUGCUAUUUUAACGGUGUAAAAGAAUCGAAAUUUGUUGAAUUUUGAUACAAAAUUUUAUUCGCUAUCUAGAUAAAGAUCAAUAACUCUGAUCUUGAAUUGAAGGAUUCGAUCAUCCUUUUUUAGGACGUCGUUCGAUUUUGACUGUUUAUUUUAUGCUCGUUUGAUGGACUUUAUUAUGAUUUCGAAAAUUUACGAAAUUUAUUUUCUAGAAGUUUCAAAUACUCUAGAUCAUAUUUAACGGAGUGGAUCGUCGAUUUGGAAGCUUCAUCAUAAAAAACAAUUUAGAAGUACGAGAGCUCCAAUACUCAUAAUAGUAUAGUAGCCACGGCCUAUAUAGGGUCCGACUACUAUACUAUUAUGAGUACGAUCUGCCACAGCCCGCGACCACCCGCCUAUUUGGCUGAGGUCCCGGAGCCGCCGACAUCGCCGAAUGGACAGGGUUUCUCCUGUACUACGGACAGAGUCUCCCCUGUACAUUCAAGGCAUCGCAACCAAUACAAUUCACGAAGGUUCCAACCAGAAACAGAUAUCAAUCAAGAUUGCAAGUGGAAGGUAUCAUACAACAUAAACACAUCCUAAGUUAUUACAUUCAUUCACUUUCAUAGUUUUUAUAUUAUAGUUUCCAUUCUUUUUCAUCCAAAUGCAAUCUAAGUUAUUACAACAUUUACUUACUACAAGUUUGAUACAUUGUAUUCUUUUCAUUUCCUUUACCCCUAAGCUAUAUAGACGGGAUACUGCUAGCUCUGGUCUCUGGGGUAGGGCGCUAUCUGCAGAACUACGCCCUCGCCUUGCGCCGCCGCGCUGCACAUGUGUGUACCUGUACCCUCAAAACAGCAACACGGGGGUGAGACUAUUGUCCAUAGUCCUAAGUGGGUUUAGUCACCCAAGAGAACCAGCUCAACCAACAGGUCUAACGAGGCACUGCAACAUGUUAGUUCAACAAUAUACAACAGAUAUAUAUUCAAUUGAAAUACAUGUCAUGCCUCACGAAAUGCAAGAUGCAAUACCUGUAAUCAUGUAAGUAGGGUACUUUAACGCUACUUAUAUUCUUAAUCAUUCUUUACCCUUGUCAUUUAAUGUUUACUUUUAGCUCUUAGCUAUUCUUUACUUGUAACCUUUCUUUACUUUAUCAGCUAUUCUUAUUCCUUAGCCGAUCUUUAUUCUUUACUUAUUCUUUAUUCUUUACUUAUUCUUUAUUCUUUAUACUUUGUUGCACUUUUCCACUGGCCAUUCUUUCCAAAGGUUUCUCUUACCUUAGUUCUCUAUGCCAUUCGAUUCGGUCUUAAGUCAAUCAAUCGCGGAUAGUCCGCGCACUGUCUAGCUCGAGGUGAAGGAACUCACAUGCACCUCAGCUGGCAACAGCUCACCGUACUCCUGUCCUAGUCGUCUGGCGGCGAACGAAUCGCACCUCACCCAACAACGGCCUAGGUCCAUGACUUAGCCACCCGGCGGCGAAAUCGUCGCACAAACGCCAUGACAGUGGUUCAGUCAACAGGCGGUAGGAUUCACAAACUGGCUAACCAUCCGGCGGCGAAAUCGUCGCACACACCAUGACAGAGGUUCUUUAGCCCUUGGGCGGCGAAAUCGUCGCACACACCCAACACCACUUUGGGUGUAUCCUUUUAGCCUUGGGAUUCCGGAAUCCAUUUCACAUCACAUAGGGGUUGGUCUUAACCCUAUGGAACUGACCUCUCUAGGUCUAAGCUUUUACUCAACCUAAGUUCACCCAUUAGGUUUAUUGCUUUCACCUUCUUAACCUAGGUUUAUUAUAUUAGGAUCAUUAUUCUUUCCAACCUAGGUUCACUUGACUCUAGGUUAAGUACUUUUCAUUUCACGACCUAUAUUUAUUAACACUAGGUUGGAUGCCACUCGAUCUAUUUGAUUUUAGAUCUACUCCUGACCUAUGUUCCUUAACACUAAGUUAGAUGCCACUCGAUCUAAUUCACAUACUAAUUGUCCAAUUAAGCAUUCUACUUAUUCUAGAGUUAUCAAUUCUCAUUUUCCAAUGUUAUCUCUCUAAUCAAGCUAGAGUUAUCAACCAAGUUCAUAUGCAUAUAUAAUCUCACAAUGCUAAGCAUGCAUCUAUGAUCUCACAAUGCUAAUCACGCGUUUAUAAUCUCAUAUAUCAUUUAUAUGCAUCUACUUAGCAUUUACAUCAUUCUAUAAACAUGCAUCAUAUAACUUGCUCAUUAUGCAUUCUAGCAUUUCUACAUUACAUUAUUUAGCAUUAUAUAACUUGCUCAUAAUGCAUUCUAUUUAGCAUUUACAUCAUACUAUCAACAUGCAUUAUUUAGCUACAUGCAUCAUUUACAUGCUUCAUUUACAUUUAUAUGCAUCAACAUGGAUUCUUAGUUUCUUAGACAUAAAGGCGAGCCUAGUCACUUUGGUAAACACAACCCACCUUAAUUCGCGUUCCGAUUGCUUGUCGACACUUGCAAUCGGCCUCCCGCGGACCCGUAUCCGGCACGGCCCGAUACUGCAACUGCGCCUCAACCGUGCUCCGCUUCGCAGUCCCGAAAAUUAUAGGUCUUCGGUUAUGUGCCACGAUGCCUCAAAUCCAUUUCCAUGAUUUUACGACGUCGCCUCGGCCUUCCGGCGGACCCGAAGCCUAAACGUCUAUUUCUUUAAUAACUUUGUAACGGCUCGUCGGAUUGCCGAACCGUCUUCGC
rnacentral:lncRNA from 1 species